GACCUUACUUGAACAGGAUCUGUUCUCUACCGCUUCAUCCUUUACCAAAAAGGAGGCAAGCUCUCAAGUCUGGUUGAUGAGCCCAGACCUCUGGGCCAGAGCGUGAUUAACGGGCCAGGAUGCUCCGGCUGGUGCCAUCUGACGGCUGUAGAGGAUCGUUCCUGCCAAGGCCCCCUGCCCUGGUCAGGGUGGCUCAGAGGUUGUCUGACAGACU